rnacentral:rRNA from 1 species
CCUACGGGAGGCAGCAGUGAGGAAUAUUGGUCAAUGGGCGAGAGCCUGAACCAGCCAAGUCGCGUGAGGGAGUACUGCCCUAUGGGUUGUAAACCUCUUUUGUCGGGGAGCAAAAGCCGGACGUGUCCGGCUGUGAGAGUACCCGAAUAAAAAGCAUCGGCUAACUCCGUUCCAGCAGCCGCGGUAAUACGGAGGAUGCGAGCGUUAUCCGGAUUUAUUGGGGUUAAAGGGUGCGCAGGCGGAUUUUUAAGUCAGCGGUCAAAUCGUGGGGCUCAACCCCAUCCAGCCGUUGAAACUGGGGAUCUAGAGUGUGCGAGAGGUAUGCGGAAUGCGUGGUGUAGCGGUGAAAUGCAUAGAUAUCACGCAGAACCCCGAUUGCGAAGGCAGCAUACCGGUGCACAACUGACGCUCAGGCACGAAAGCGUGGGUAUCGAACAGGAUUAGAUACCCCUGUAGUC